rnacentral:other from 1 species
GGAUUGCUGCACUUCUCGUUAGAAGCAACUUUUCCUUGGGGCCUUAACGAUCCGAAUGGGAGCUGGCGCUGAUAAGGACCGUGGUCCUCUUUAACCGGCCCCCCCCUGAAAAACAGGUGUCCCAGGAUCUAUAAAGCAUCAACGGUCGUUGCGGCAUCUC